rnacentral:rRNA from 1 species
UACAGGGGGGGCAAGCGUUGUUCGGAAUUACUGGGCGUAAAGGGCUCGUAGGCGGCCAACUAAGUCCGACGUGAAAUCCCAAAGCUUAACUUUGGAACUGCGUCGGAUACUGGAUGGCUUGAAUUCGGGAGAGGGAUGCGGAAUUCCAGGUGUAGCGGUGAAAUGCGUAGAUAUCUGGAGGAACACCGGUGGCGAAGGCGGCAUCCUGGACCAACAAUGACGCUGAGUGAGCGAAAGCCAGGGGAGCAAACGGG